GGGAGUGCCCUUCGGGGAACCUGGAGACAGGUGCUGCAUGGGCUGUCGUCAGCUCGUGUCGUGAGAUGUAGGGUUAAGUCCCGCAACGAGCGCAACCCUUGUCUUAAUUGCCAUCAUUGAGUUGGGCACUUUAAAGAGACUGCCGGUGUUAAACCGGAGGAAGGUGGGGAUGACGUCAAGUCCUCAUGGCCUUUAUGCCCAGGGCUACACACGUGCUACAAUGGGUGGUACAAAGAGCAGCCAGCUCGCGAGAGUGAGCAAAUCUCAAAAAGCCAUCCUCAGUUCGGAUUGGAGUCUGCAACUCGACUCCAUGAAGUUGGAAUCGCUAGUAAUCGCGGAUCAGCAUGCCGCGGUCGAAUACGUUCCCGGGCCUU
rnacentral:rRNA from 1 species